rnacentral:rRNA from 1 species
AUUGAACGCUGGCGGCAGGCUUAACACAUGCAAGUCGAGCGAGCGGCGGACGGGUGAGUAAUGUCUGGGAAACUGCCUGAUGGAGGGGGAUAACUACUGGAAACGGUAGCUAAUACCACAUACCAUCAGAUGUGCCCAGAUUGGCUUAGCUAGUAGGGGGGGUAAUGGCUCACCUAGGCGACGAUCCCUAGCUGGUCGGGGAGGAUGACCAGCAACACUGGGAAUGAGACAAGGUCCAGCCUCCGACGGGAGGCAGCAGUGGGAAAGAUUGCACAAUGGGCGCAAGCCUGAUGCAGCCAUGCCGCGUGUGUGAAGAAGGCCUUCGGGUUGUAAAGCACUUUCAGCGAGGAGGCGUUACUCGCAGAAGAAGCACCGGCUAACUCCGUGCCAGCAGCCGCGGUAAUUC